rnacentral:lncRNA from 1 species
GGGGUAUAACUCUUGUUUAAUCUGUUAAGGGGGAUAACUCUUUCCCCCAUAAAAAAAGGGGGGACAAUUGUAGAAUAAAAACUUUUCUAUCAUGAAAUCAUGUUACGCAAUGAAAAAUAUAUAAAACUAUGUUGUGGGGAACUAGCUAUAGAAUAUAUGCCUUACAUGUAUACUUGCUAAAAAUAAGUUUACUAAAUAACGUGUUAUUUAUAGAAAAAUAACAAACCAUGUGUUUGCUGACAAUAACAUGUCAAAUAAAUUGCACAUCAAGAAAUCAUGCCUAAAAGGCUUUGAAUAAUAAAACCUUACCAUUGGAAACAUUAUAACUUCAAUGCAAUAGUAACUUUAAGGUGAAUUAUUAUUUCUUGUCAGUGCCAAAAAACAGGCGGAUGUUAUAAAUAACUAUAAAAACAGAUAAAAUAAGUAUACAAAUUUUCCGAUCAGAAACAAAG